rnacentral:rRNA from 1 species
GGACGUAAUGAUGGCAGAGAGGUCACACCCGUUCCCAUACCGAACACGGAAGUUAAGCUCUCUAGCGCCGAUGGUAGUUGGGACCUUGUCCCUGUGAGAGUAGGACGUUGCCAGGC